rnacentral:rRNA from 1 species
AUUGAACGCUGGCGGCAUGCCUUACACAUGCAAGUCGAACGGCAGCACGGGUGCUUGCACCUGGUGGCGAGUGGCGCACGGGUGAGUAAUACAUCGGAACAUGUCCUGUAGUGGGGGAUAGCCCGGCGAAAGCCGGAUUAAUACCGCAUACGAUCUACGGAUGAAAGCGGGGGACCUUCGGGCCUCGCGCUAUAGGGUUGGCCGAUGGCUGAUUAGCUAGUUGGUGGGGUAAAGGCCUACCAAGGCGACGAUCAGUAGCUGGUCUGAGAGGACGACCAGCCACACUGGGACUGAGACACGGCCCAGACUCCUACGGGAGGCAGCAGUGGGGAAUUUUGGACAAUGGGCGAAAGCCUGAUCCAGCAAUGCCGCGUGUGUGAAGAAGGCCUUCGGGUUGUAAAGCACUUUUGUCCGGAAAGAAAUCCUUGGCCCUAAUACGGUCGGGGGAUGACGGGACCGGAAGAAUAAGCACCGGCUAACUACGU